CUAGCAUUCAGUGAGUUCUGGGCUUUGAGACUUUGUUUCAAAAACUAAGCAAGAACUUCUGGGUGUAGGAAGUGUGCUACACUGAUAGUACAAUUUUCACUAACACCAGUAGAGCUUGCCUCUAUGGCUGGAGUUUGGUAGUGAUUACUGCCAUAUGC
rnacentral:snoRNA from 1 species